UACGUAGGGUGCAAGCGUUGUCCGGAAUUAUUGGGCGUAAAGAGCUCGUAGGCGGUUUGUCGCGUCUGCUGUGAAAACCCGAGGCUCAACCUCGGGCCUGCAGUGGGUACGGGCAGACUAGAGUGCGGUAGGGGAGAUUGGAAUUCCUGGUGUAGCGGUGAAAUGCGCAGAUAUCAGGAGGAACACCGGUGGCGAAGGCGGCUUACUGGCUAGACACUGACGCUCAGACACGACAGCAUGGGGAGCAAACGGG
rnacentral:rRNA from 1 species